UAUAUUUAUAUCUAUAUUUAUUUAUUUUUUAUAUAUUAUUUCUCAUGGAAUUUGCCACGUGGUAAUUUCUCACCCCCUCUCCAUACUCUUUGAUGCUUCACCUUCCCACCUCAUCUCUACUCGAUACUUCGUCUUUCCACCCGCCCACUUUUUAAUUAAUGUAUUCAUAUGAUUUAGUUUUAUCUAAACAAAUUAUUUUUUUUUAAAAAAGAAUAACUAUUUGUUCUUGUAACUUUCAUUAUUGUUAUAUAUAAUUUAUUUGUUAUUGUAACUUUUGUCAUAUUUGUAUAUAUCUAUUUUAUAUUUUCUAUUUAUAUUUAUUAAUAUUUUAUUACAAGUUAAAAAAUUUUUAAAUUUUAAUUUUGUUAAUUUUUUAUCUUCUAUAAUAUUAAGCCGUAGCAAUGCACAGAUAACUCAACUAAAGGUGUCCAAAAUAUCCGAUAUCCCAUAUACCCGACCCGGACCCUAUCCGGAACCGAACCGGAUCCGAACCGGACCCGAUAAAAAAUGAAUAGUAUACGGAUAAAAAAAAUUACCUAUUAAAGUUUUGGGUAUGGGUCCGGAUAUUUUAUACCCAUACCCGAUUUAGACCCGACCCGAACCUAACUUUUAAAUGGAUAAGGUCCGAAAUAGUUUUCAAAUCAGGAUCCGGACCCGGACCCGAUGAAAUAUCCGAUAGUAAAUAAAAAAAAAAUAAACUUUUGAAAUUGAAGGAUCAACUUUAAUAUGACUUAUAGAUGAUGAGUCACUACGUAUUUUCAUCCUAAUGAAACCCUAGCCGUCUCUUUUACUCAUUACUUUUUUCUAAUUUUUUUACUCUUUGUUUCCUACUUCUUUUUUUUCAUUUUAUUUCCGCCAAUAAUAUUUGAUUGUCAUCAUCAUCAUCAGUGUCAUCAUCAUCAUCAGCGAUAAUAUUUCUUUUGAAUGAAUUUUAUUGGAUGGUACAACUUAUUAGAAUGCGAGUUUUUUUUAUGGUGAGCUUUAUAGUUUGUCUAUUGACUAUUUAAUAAAGUUUAUAAAAAAAAUAUACUUAUACGGAUAUCUGUACCCGAUCUAAACCCGAUCCAUAUCCGGUCUUGAACGGGUAAUAUACGGGUAGUCACUACCCAGACCCGCUCAAAUAGACCCGAUGGGUAUAUUAGUAAUUUUAGUACCCAGAUCCGGACCCGACCCGAAGUUAAAUGGGUAGGGUAUAUAUAUUUUUUUAUAACCAUUUCUUUUUAGGAUAUGGGUAUAGUAUAUUAAUUAUCCAGACCCGACCCGGUCCACGGACAUCUUUAAACUCCACCAGUCAUAUUUAAGAUCAGACC
rnacentral:lncRNA from 1 species